rnacentral:lncRNA from 1 species
UCACAAAUUAGUUGCACUAGUUUAAAGAAGGUGCACUUACAAUAUUUAUAUAAAAGUUUUUAAAAAUAAAUUAGUGAGAAUUUGUAUACUCCCUCAGUUUAAUUUAUGUGAAUUUGUUAAUUGAUUUUGAUUUAUUUGUGAAUAUAAGACAUAAUAAUUGCUUUACAUAAUUUUAAAAUGUUUUACUAUUUUGAAUUUACAAGUAGUCAGCAGCUGUUAAUUUAUCAUCUUGGAAAAGUACUGUUUGAUUGCCAAUCCUUUAUCGUAUUGUCAGUACUUUUGUCUUAAAAAAUAGUAGUGACAUUUAAUAUCCAUAACCUUCUCCUAUAUCGUCACUUGUCAUUGUCUCCACUGUGUGACUAACUUUCGCCCAAUUCACAAGCUUUACAUUGCUUGGUUUCUACUAAGGGUGUAUUCUGGCCCCGGCCCGGGCCUAAAUGGGUCUGACAGGCCGGGCUUUGUGAUCCUGGACUUUGUGUGCCGGGCUUGGCGGUUGAGACCGGCCCGUGACGGACUGCUAUCACCAUAUUAAAAUGUGAUUACUCUGUUUAAGGACUUAUUACUGCUACUAAGGUACUUUUUUUUUCCCGGACAUGUAAUUCUCCUUUUAAUUCAAUGAGAACAUGCUUAUAAUGCUAAGGCAGAGAGACUGUUACCAUCACGGGCCAG